rnacentral:rRNA from 1 species
CACCACAACAGGUGGAGCCUGCGGUUUAAUCGGACUCAACGCCGGGAAAGGCUCACCGGAUAAGACAGCGGAAUGAUAGCCGGGCUGAAGACUCUGCUUGACUAGCUGAGAGGAGGUGCAUGGCCGUCGUCAGUUCGUACUGUGAAGCAUCCUGUUAAGUCAGGCAACGAGCGAGACCCACGCCAACAGUUGCCAGCAUGUCCUCCGGGAUGGUGGGGACACUGUUGGGACCGCCUCUGCUAAAGAGGAGGAAGGAAUGGGCAACGGUAGGUCAGCAUGCCCCGAAUUAUCCGGGCUACACGCGGGCUACAAUGGUCAGGACAAUGGGCAUCAACACCGAAGGUGAAGGCAAUCUCUUAAACCUGUCCUUAGUUCGGAUUGUGGGCUGCAACUCGCCCACAUGAAGCUGGAAUCUGUAGUAAUCGUGUCUCAAAAUGGCACGGUGAAUAUGUCCCUGCUCCUU